AUGAACGCUGGCUACCGGCUUAACCCAUGCCAGUCGAGGGGAAACGACGGGGAAGCUUGCUUCCCCGGGCGUCGACCGGCGCACGGGUGAGUAACGCGUAUCCAACCUGCCUCUGACUGAGGGAUAACCCGUCGAAAGUCGGCCUAAUACCUCAUGGCAUCGUCUGCGGGCAUCCAACGACGAUUAAAGAUUUCAUCGGUCAGAGAUGGGGAUGCGUCUGAUUAGCUUGUUGGCGGGGUAACGGCCCACCAAGGCGACGAUCAGUAGGGGUUCUGAGAGGAAGGUCCCCCACAUUGGAACUGAGACACGGUCCAAACUCCUACGGGAGGCAGCAGUGAGGAAUAUUGGUCAAUGGGCGAGAGCCUGAACCAGCCAAGUAGCGUGCAGGAUGACGGCCCUAUGGGUUGUAAACUGCUUUUAUGCGGGGAUAAAGUGAGGGACGUGUCCUUCAUUGCAGGUACCGCAUGAAUAAGGACCGGCUAAUUCCGUG
rnacentral:rRNA from 1 species